CUACCAUGCAGUCGAACGGCAGCACAGAGGAGCUUGCUCCUUGGGUGGCGAGUGGCGGACGGGUGAGGAAUACAUCGGAAUCUACUUUUUCGUGGGGGAUAACGUAGGGAAACUUACGCUAAUACCGCAUACGACCUACAGGUGAAAGCAGGGGACCUUCGGGCCUUGCGCGAUUGAAUGAGCCGAUGUCGGAUUAGCUAGUUGGCGGGGUAAAGGCCCACCAAGGCGACGAUCCGUAGCUGGUCUGAGAGGAUGAUCAGCCACACUGGAACUGAGACACGGUCCAGACUCCUACGGGAGGCAGCAGUGGGGAAUAUUGGACAAUGGGCGCAAGCCUGAUCCAGCCAUACCGCGUGGGUGAAGAAGGCCUUCGGGUUGUAAAGCCCUUUUGUUGGGAAAGAAAUCCAGCUGGCUAAUACCCGGUUGGGAUGACGGUACCCAAAGAAUAAGCACCGGCUAACUUCGUGCCAGCAGCCGCGGUAAUACGAAGGGUGCAAGCGUUACUCGGAAUUACUGGGCGUAAAGCGUGCGUAGGUGGUCGUUUAAGUCCGUUGUGAAAGCCCUGGGCUCAACCUGGGAACUGCAGUGGAUACUGGGCGACUAGAGUGUGGUAGAGGGUAGCGGAAUUCCUGGUGUACAGUGAAAUGCGUAAGAUCAGGAGGAACAUCCAUGGCGAAGGCAGCUACCUGGACCAACACUGACACUGAGGCACGAAAGCGUGGGGAGCAAACAGGAUUAAUACCCUGGUAGUCCACGCCCUAAACGAUGCGAACUGGAUGUUUGGGUGCAAUUUGGCACGCACUAUCAAAGCUAACGCGUUAAAUUUCGCCGCCUGGGGGAGUACGGUCGCAGACUGAAACUCAGGGAAUUGACGGGGGGCCCGCACAGCCGGU
rnacentral:rRNA from 1 species